GGGUCAGUAGGUUGGUCGUGCCACCGGUACGUACUGGUCUCACUGAUUCCUCCUGCCUGAAGAACCGUAAUGCCAUUAAUUUGGUGUUGCGGGGAAACAGGACUGUUACUUUGAAAAAAUUAGAGUGUUUAAAGCAAGCUAACGCUUGAAUACAUUAGCAUGGAAUAACGAAAUAGGACGAUCGAUCCUAUUUUGUUGGUUUCUAGGAUUGACGUA
rnacentral:rRNA from 1 species